rnacentral:rRNA from 1 species
GACUGUAGUCUGCAACCCGACUACACGAAGCCGGAAUCGCUAGUAAUCGCGAAUCAGAAUGUCGCGGUGAAUACGUUCCCGGGUCUUGUACACACCGCCCGUCACACCAUGGGAGUCGGAAAUGCCCGAAGUCUGUGACCUAACCGUAAGGAAGGAGCAGCCGAAGGCAGGUCGGAUGACUGGGGUGAAGUCGUAACAAGGUAAC